rnacentral:lncRNA from 1 species
UGCUCAUAGCAAUGAUAUUCACAGUAGCCAAAGAUGGAAACAACCCAAAUGUCUGUCGAUGGAUGAACAGAUGAUUAUGAUAUAUACAUAUAAUGGAAUAUUGAUCAGUCACAAAGUAUUGAGACCUACCAUGAUGCAGAUGGACAUCCAAAACGCUAAGGGAAAGGCCAGCCGUGAAAUGCCACCUAUUUCCUAUUCUGUCACAUGAAAACGCCCCAUAGGUAAGUCCACAGAAACAGAGUUGGUGGUGGCCGAGAGUGGCAGGGUGGGGAGGGGAACAGAGCACAGUAGCUCUUCAGUGCACGAGGGACUGUGCUGGAGUGGUGGAAGUGUUUUGGCACUCAGUGGAGGUGGUGGCUCCAAGCUGUGAAUGUUCUCAACAUUCCUGAAUUGUUCACUUUAAAAUGGUCAAUUUUAUUAUGUAAAUUUUGCCUCAGUUAAAGAAAAGAUAAUUGACGGUUCAAACAUAUGUAUAAGUAAAAUAAAUAAAGUGUAUAGAAAUAGUAUAAAGGCCAGGAGGGGAAAUGAACGUGGGGUCCUCAUGCUCUGUGAAGUGGUGUGAGGCCACUUGUUAUACCGCUUGGAUGCUGAAAGACCGGAGAUUUAUACACACACCCUAAAGCCACCACUAAAAUCACACAGCAAAGAGACACAACUAAGGAGACACGGUGGAAUCAUAAAAAAUCCCACCCAAAAGAAGGCAGAAAAAGAACAGAGGGAAAAAAGAACAAAGGAUAGAAAGAGACUAAUGUGACGAACGGCGACUGCGUCAAUAUCACAUCGAGGGGCUGGGGCUGGGGCUCAGUGGCGGAGCACUCGCCUAGCAUGUGUGAGGCCCUGGGUUCGAUCCUCAGCACCACAUAAAAAUUAAUUAAUUAAUUAAUUUUUAAAAAUGUAUCACAUUGAAGGUAACUCGUCUAAACAGCGGUCUUGGUCCAUUUGGGCUGCUAUGAGACUGGGUAGUUGGUCAGCAGGAUUUAUUGUUCACAGCGCUGGCGGCUGGAAGUCCAAGAUCAAGGCACUCAUAUUUCUGGUGUCUGGCGCAGGCUGCUCUCUGCUUUAAAGAUGGCGUCUUCUAGCUCUGUCCUCCCAGGUGGAAGGCACAAAUGCUCCCACAGGCCUCAUUUACAAGGCCUCAGUCACAAGCAUGAGGGUGGAGCCCCCGGGACCUCCUCACCUUCUAGUGGCCUAACCUCUUCACGCUAUCACACUGGUCACUAGCUUCCAACAUACGAACUUUAUGGGGACACCAACUUUCAGGCCACAGCGAUGGCCAACUGAAGAUCCCGGAGGAUCAGAUUAGACUAAAAGUCUAGGCCCAACUAUGUGUUACCUGUAAGAAAUGCCCCUUCAAUGUAAAGGCACAGAGAAGUGGGAAGAAAAAGGUCAGAAAAGUCACACCAGGUAGCAGUGGUCGAAGGAAAGCUAGGAGAAAUAUCACAGAGGAAAAGAGGAUCACUGCUGAUCAUGAAAGUGUCCCAUGAUCAAGAAGACAUGCAAUCUGUAAUAUCAAUCCACAUGACCUCAGAGCCUCAAAGUUCAUGAAGCAGCAACACUUAGACCUGAAGGGAAAAAUAGUUCACCGUUGUGGUCAGAGAUUUUAACACCCUUUUCCAGUGAUCGAUAGAGCAAGUAGACAGAAGAUUGGUAAGAAGUAGAUGAUUUGGGCAACAUUGUCAGUCAUCCUGACCUAAUUAUAACUUAUAGAAUGCCCUGCUCAACAAAAGAAGAAUACAUAUUCUUUUCAAGUGCACAUGAACUGUGUACCAAGAUAGACCGUAUUCGUGUCCAGGAAACAGAAAGCAUUCAAGUUAUGCAGUGUGUUCUCUGACCAUAUGGAAAUCAAAACAUAAAAAUCUUGGGGUAAUUUUCAAAUUUGCAAACUAAGGGACACAUUUAUGUCAGACGAAUCAAGAAUAAACCAUAGGUAAAAAAUGGAAUUUUAAAAUGAAUGAAAAUGAAAAUAUAACAUACCAGAACCUAUGAGACGACGCUAAGGCAAGGCUUAGCUCAGCUUCGGAUGGAGCCAAUUCUUGCAUUAGAAAAAGAGAGCGAGCUCAAGUCAGUAUCUCAGUUCACCCUGAAAACCAGAAAAAGGUGGUCUUCUGAACGAUGGGAGAGGGCGCUGGGCUUGAAACGGUGGCUCCUCUGUGCACCACCAGUACUAGAGAGGAGCCCCCGGCUCCCUCAGGCCCAGCCUAGAUGAGCCAAUUCGCGUGGAGAAAAGAUGGAGAGCUCUGAGCAGAUUGCAGGUUUAAAGUCAGAAUUUCAUUAUGAUGUUGUGGAGGAAACUGAUGACUACAGAAAUUAAUAAGAGGCAUAUGAAGAGAUGUGUAAAUCAACAAAAUGGAAUGUUCCAAAGCUCUUUGGGGAGAUGGUGUUGCCCUAGUUGCCCCUCCAUUGAGAGUUGGUUGGAACAAAAAAUUCAUCCUGUGCAGAAAAUAGAUGACUUCGUACAAUUGCCUCUUUAAAUGUGCAAGACACUCAGAAAGAGAAACCCGCAUAUGUUUUGAUAUGAAGAAAUGACCUGGGCUGGGGAUGUGGCUCAAGCGGUAGCGCGCUCGCCUGGCAUGCGUGCGGCCCGGGUUCGAUCCUCAGCACCACAUACCGACAAAGAUGUUGUGUCCGCCGAAAACUAAAAAAUAAAUAUUAAAAAAUUCUCUCUCUCUCUCUCCUCUCUCACUCUCUCUUUAAAAGAAAAGAAAAAGAAAAAAGAAAUGACCUGAGGUUCAUCCUCCCCUGAAAUGAGAUAUCUGUGAAUAACUCACAACUUCCUUAAAAAAGAAAGAAAAAAUCAAAAUAGAGAAAAUCAAACCCAAAGUAAGUAGAAGAAAGGAAAUAUUAAAGAGAAAAUCAAUGAAAUAGAAAAGAGAAAAAUAGUGGAGAAAAAAAAAUGAAACCAGCACUGGCUGUGUGGAUGACCAGUGCCACCGCCAGACCAGUGACACUCCAGCCAGACUCCUCGGGAGACAAAGAGGAGACCAGGCUCCGACACCUGAGGGGGAGGGCCAACAACUUCCAGCACACGCAUUUGACAAGUCAGAUGAAAGGUCCAAAUUAUGUGAAAGACAAAGAAUUUCCAAACCUCACUCAAGAGAAAGGAGAUGAUCUGAAUAUCCUCCUAUCUAUAAAAGAAAUUGAAAUUACACAGAGAAAACUCCAAGUCCCCAGGCCUCCGUUAGUCAAUCCCACAGAACACCUCAGGAACUCUACACAAGCUCUCAAAAUGUGAAAGAAAAGGAUAUAUUUCCCCACUUAUUCCAUUGUACAAGACCAAAGAGGCAUGACAGGAAAACUAGAGAACAAUCUCUCAUGAUCCGAGUUGCAAAAAUUCUAGGUCAGAGGUGGGGCUUAGCUCAGUGGGGGAGCACGCGCCUUGCACCUAGGAGGGGCUGUUUUGCCCUCAGCACCACAUAAAAUAAAUAAACAAAUAAAUACAUAAAAGGUUUUUGUGUCCAUCUACAACUAAAAAUAUUUUUUUAAAAAAUUCAGGGUCAACUUCAGCAAGUUAUACCUAACAAUAUAUAAAAAGGAUAAUACAUCUUGACUACAUAGGAUCUAUCGUUGGAAGGCAAGGUUGGAUACCAUUAGAAAAUCUAUCAAUGUAGUUCACCACAUGAACAAACUUAAAAAAGAAAAAAAUAUUAUCAUCUCAAUGGAUGCAGAAAAAUCACUGGACAAAAUCCAACAUCCGUUUCUUGCAAAAGUGUCACCAAAGCAGAAAUAGAAGGGGACUUCUUCAACACAGGAGCAAGCAUCUACAAAACGCUAUAGUUAACAUUAUAUUUAAGGGUGAAAGACCAGAAUUCUCCCCCGAGACCAGGAACAAGAGAAAGAUGACGCCAUCCCUACGGCUCUUGUUCAAUAUUGUACUGGAGGUUCUAACCAGGGAAAUCAGGCAAGAGUGAGAAAUAACAGGAAUUUGGACAGACAAAGAAAAAAUAAUGCUAUUUACAAAUGACACCAUCAUCUAUGUAGGAAAUCCAAUGAAACUACAAAAAAGUGCUAGAACUAAUUGUUGCAUUUAACAGGUUUUCAGGGACAAAAAUCUAUAUACAUGAAUCUAUAUGCGUAUUUCUAUACACAACAAGCAGUUGACAAUUAAAACUCUGAAAUGCUAUUUACAACAGCAUCAAAACUAUGAAAUAUAUAAGGAUAGAUCUUACAAAAGGUGUGAAAACCUGGCACUACUGAAGGAGUUUAAAGAUCUCCACAAUGGAGAGGGCUGCUGGGUUCAUGGGUUGGAAGACGUUUUGUUGAGAUGUUAUUUUCUCCUCAAGUUGGCCUGUAGAUUCAAUGCAAUCCUAAUCAAAACUCCAGCAGUCUUUUAAAAAAUUAGAAAACUGACUGUGAAAUUCACAUGAAGACCGAUGGAAACAAAAAACAAAGCAGCUUUAGAAAAGACAAAGCCAGAAGACUGCACUAGGUGAUCUGAACAUACGAAGCAUCAGCAAUCGAGAGUGUGGUAGUGACACAAGUGCAGAUGACCAGACGGCUGGAACAAGACAGAGUCCAGAAACAGAACCACCGCUGGGCAGCUUAUUUGACAAAGUACAAAGGCAAUUCAAAUGACACUGUGGCAAUCUUUUUAACAAUGGCAUUGAACAUCUGCAUGGAAAACCAAAAACGAAAGUCUAAAGAGCAAAGUUUAAUACUUACCUGGUCCCAUGCACAAAAAUUAACUCAAAUGGACCCUAUGCCUAAAUGUGAACCCCAAACUGCUGAAAACCUUUAUGAUCUUGGGUUAGACAAUGCUGUCUUAGAGUUGACACCAAAAGCCUGACUCGUAAGGGAAUACGUGGGUAAGUUGGGCUUCCUCACAGACAUGUCUGCCCCUUGACAGACAUUGUUCAGAGAAUGUGAAGACAAGCCACAGACAGAGAAAGUGAUUUGAAAGUGUGAAUCUGACACAGGACUCGUAUCCAGAAUAUGUACAGAAUGCAAUAAGCACAUGGGAAGCUCAAAGUCAUCUGUCAUUAUGGCCGUGCAAGUUAAAAUCACAAUGAGAUGCCCCGCCAGCCAGGAGAGUGUCGUUAAUAAUGUCUCAAUAAAGCUGCCCGUGAAGAAGAGCAGGAGAUGUGUCCAGAAGUGAGUCCCCUCCUGCCCUGACUCCUGGGGGUCCUUGAUAAAUGACAGCUGUCCCAGGGUCUGUGACCCUGGGCUGGGGCUCUGGCCAACCUCUUCCUUUGGUAAAGUGAGCUUAGCCCGGGCUUUGUAGGGUGGGAGCCUCCUUGACCCCAGGCCAGCAUGACCCCACAGGAAGCUCCUGGGUCCAGGGAGAGAAACAGUGUGGGGACCUGGAGGGCUGUGCUUCUGCCGAUCUGGCCAGCAAGCCAGGAGGACAGGCGUCCCUCCACAGGGCUGCACCCCAGAGGC